rnacentral:lncRNA from 1 species
CAUAAAGAUCUAAAGGAGGAUUCUUACUUGGAACGAUUGCUUUGCUUGUGUUUUCUUUCUGAAAAACAAUAAAAUGUUAAUGAUUGAAUAAUUUAAUGUUUAUACUAAAAAUAUUAGUAAGUAUUGAACAACUUACUUCCAUAGAAGCGAAACGCUCUAAUAAUUGUGUUUUUUUUCAAUGCUUUCAUAUUUUUGUUAACGACCUCUAAUUCCUUUGUAGCGGCCUCUUUAACACAAAGAUCGAAUUUUUUUCUCUUCCUUUCGAUUUCUUCUUUCGUUUGUCGAUAUUUUAUAUUCUUCGAUUUCUUUGUUUGUGAAAGCAUUAAUGAAUCGUCAUCCGGUUUUAUUCCGAGAAUACGUACGUCCCUUUGUCUUUCCUCCUGUAGCCUUCAUCCAAGCUUCCAAACUAUCUCUUGUGGCUGUGAAUAAUGGCUUUUUCCUCAUGUAGAAGGUCGAUCAUUGAGUCGAAAUGUCUUCUUCAUCUGUUU